rnacentral:rRNA from 1 species
GGAAUUUUGGACAAUGGGCGCAAGCCUGAUCCAGCAAUGCCGCGUGAGUGAAGAAGGCCUUCGGGUUGUAAAGCUCUUUUGUCAGGGAAGAAACGGUGAGGGCUAAUAUCCCUUGCUAAUGACGGUACCUGAAGAAUAAGCACCGGCUAACUACGUGCCAGCAGCCGCGGUAAUACGUAGGGUGCAAGCGUUAAUCGGAAUUACUGGGCGUAAAGCGUGCGCAGGCGGUUUUGUAAGUCUGAUGUGAAAUCCCCGGGCUCAACCUGGGAAUUGCAUUGGAGACUGCAAGGCUAGAAUCUGGCAGAGGGGGGUAGAAUUCCACGUGUAGCAGUGAAAUGCGUAGAUAUGUGGAGGAACACCGAUGGCGAAGGCAGCCCCCUGGGUCAAGAUUGACGCUCAUGCACGAAAGCGUGGGGAGCAAACAGGAUUAGAUACCCUUG